rnacentral:lncRNA from 1 species
AAAAAAUAAAUGUAUAUUUUAAUAAAUUUAAGUUAAUACAUCCAAAUUUUAUAAGAGAAAUAAAAUCGGUUGCUUUGAAAGCCGACAAUGAAGAAGUUUAUCAGUGGCAAAAAAAAUAAAAAGAAAAAGAAAAAGGAUUAGUAAUAUAUCAAAACGUGCAUAUAUCCAAAGGGAUGACAUGGAAUCUAUAGUUAAACUAAGGCAAUGUUUGGUAGGCUGCAGUGCGUUUAAUUGCAUUACAGUGUACUGUAUUAUAGAAUACCAAACAUAGCCUUAAUUCUUGAAUUGUGAGUGAGACUACUAACCUUGCCAUUUUUUCCCGGGUCGAAGUUGUGCUCGAUUCCCGAUUUUGAGCCGAUCAUGCACCUCUAAGUUACAAAAAUUAUUUCAUGAAACUAUUACAUACUAACUACUGAUUAUGGUCUGAUAAAAUCUAUACAAAAUUCAUCAUAACUAAUUGAUGGAUUAUAAUAGUAAUGAAAAAAAAUUAUAUUGAAAUUAAUUGAUUCAAUUGGUUAAUAAAUGCUAUCUAUUGUGUGGUCUAGGGAUCAAUUUCCAAUGAGAGCAUCUAUAAAUUUUAUUUUGAUUAAAUAAUAUGGGUUUAAUUUAAAAAAUCAAUUUUAAACCGGCUGAUUUGUAUAUAUUUAUUUUGAUUUUAAAAUCGAAUUAUGAUUUAAUUUUUAAUUAAAUCGAUUUGAUUUUAAUAAGAAUCAAUUUAUUUUUUUAUUUAAAUAUAUAAAAUUCUAAAAUAUAACCAGAACAUUAAUAUAAAAUAAUUAUCAACUGUAAAAAUUAUUGUUUAGAUAAUUAAUAUUAUUAAUUUAAAUUAUUACUUUACUUUUAUUUUUUUAUUUUUUUAAAUAUAAAAGUACAUAAAAUAUCAUUAAUAUUUAUUUUUAUUUGUUAUUAUAAAUUUUAAUUUAAAGUAAAUAUUUUAUUUAAAGUUUAAAAUUAUUUUUUAAAAUAUUUAAAUCUUAAAAUUUUAAGUAUAAUUUUUUUACUAAUUAUUUAGAAAUAUAUAAAUACAUUAAUUAUAAUAAAAAUGUUAUUAAUAAUUUUUUAUUAUUUAUUUAAUAAUAUUGAAUUUUAAAUCCUUUUAACUCUUUAUUUUUAUCAAUUUUAAGAGCAAUUCGAGUAUGAAAAUCAUAUUUAAAAACACCUUUCUUACCUCGAAACUAAAACCAAAGAUCAGAAAGCUCCCAAUCAUAAAAUCAAAAUUCAAGUAAUUUGGUAAAACUUAAAUUAUUUUAUUUGAACUGCUAAAAGUGUUUUUUUUUAUUUAAUAAAUUAUUAAUAAUGUGACUUAUUUUUUAUUAAUUCUGAUUUUUUAUAAAUUUAAACUUACAAUUUUAAUUAAGUAUUGAAUAAGUUAAUUUGAAGUAAUAUAAGAGUGUAAGUCUAAAUCUAGCCGACAAUGUCAAUGUAAUCAUUUGACUUUCAGAGGCGAUGGAAUGGCAUGGUGUCGGAUUUCCUUGCUAAUUAAACCCUUUAAUUCAAAUUUAGUUUAUGACAUCGUUUUUCUUAUUUUUAUAAAAAAUUAGUUAGUGUUUUUAUAUUUUUGUUGUUAAUAUUUUAUUUUAUAUUAAAAUAAUAUAUCGUAAUAUUAUAAUAUUAAUAAUAAAAUUAAUUUUUAAAUAUUAUGUUAAUGUGAUAUUUAUAUUAUGAAAUAUUAUUUUAAUAUAAAAUUAAAUUAUAAAUUUUAGAAUAAACUAUAAUGAAAAAUCCAUUAAAUUAUAUUAAAUUUUUUAUAAAAAAAUUUAUAAUUUAAUUUAUGUGUAUUAUCAUUAUUAAUAAAUAAGUUCUUAUAUUUUUAAAAAAUUUAUUAAAACGUAAUUUUUUUUAUUAAUAAAAUAUUUAUUUUUUUUAUUUUUACUGUUAAAAAUAUAAUAAAAAAUUAAAUUAUUCAUCCUUCUCUUCUUUCUCCAUUUCUUCUUCUUCGUCGAUUUUUCAUCAUCUUUCUCUAGUUUUUCUUUUUUUUUUAUUUUUUUUUUAUUUUUUUUUUUAUUAUUCUUAUUUGAAAAGAAGAAGAGAAGAACGCGAUUUUUCUUCUUCUUCUCCUUCUUUUUUUUUCUUUUUUUUUUAUUAUUUUUUUUUUUGAAAAGGAAGAAGAGAAUAAAAACUAUUUUAUUGACAAAAAUAAACAAUAAGAAUAUUUUAAUAAAUAUGAAAAAUAUAAAGAUAUUUUAAUAAAUUUUUAAAAAUAUAGGAAUUGACUUGUUAAUAAUAAUAAUAUUUAAAAAUUAAAUAAAAAAUUUUUAUUUGAGGAUAAAAUUAAAUUUUAAAAAUUUUCUCCAUUAUUUUUUAUCUAUUUUUAAUGAAAAACAAAACGAAAUAGCUAUUUCAUUGAUGCAGAGAAUAAAUAAUAACGUUUUAAUAAAUUUUUAAAAAUAUAGAAAUUAAUUUAUUAAUAAUGAUAAUAUUCAAAAAUUAAAUAAUAAAUCUCUAUUUUCUAUAUUUUUUAUUUUUUAAAUAAAAUUAGAAUGCAAAUUUAUAUAUUAUCAAUUUAAAAAUUACUUGCUUACCAGCAUUAACUGCUCAGGGCGUGCACCCUAAUGCAUAAUUUCCUGAUUUGAUUGCCUCCUGCCUCUCUGCCAAAGAACAAUUUGCAAAUUUUAGUAUAUGAAAAAAUAAUUACUUUUGAGUAAAUAAUGCAAUUAAAAAUAAAUUUAGCUUUAUGAAUAAAUUGAAAAUCAUAUAAAAUUAUCAUAAUAUUAUUUAAUAAUAAUUAAAAAUCAUUAGUUAUUGGAAAAAGAAAAGUAAGAGGAAUGGGCGAGAGUGGCAGGGGCAGACAAG